UAUGGUGACUAUAGCGAAGGUGUCCACCUCUUCCCAUUCCGAACAGAGAAGUUAAGCCCUUCAGCGCUGAUGGUACUGCUGUAACAGGUGGGAGAGUAAGUCGUUGCCAGUU
rnacentral:rRNA from 1 species